rnacentral:rRNA from 1 species
AUUGAACGCUGGCGGCAGGCCUAACACAUGCAAGUCGAGCGGCAGCGGGAAAGUAGCUUGCUACUUUUGCCGGCGAGCGGCGGACGGGUGAGUAAUGCCUGGGAAAUUGCCCAGUCGAGGGGGAUAACAGUUGGAAACGACUGCUAAUACCGCAUACGCCCUACGGGGGAAAGCAGGGGACCUUCGGGCCUUGCGCGAUUGGAUAUGCCCAGGUGGGAUUAGCUAGUUGGUGAGGUAAUGGCUCACCAAGGCGACGAUCCCUAGCUGGUCUGAGAGGAUGAUCAGCCACACUGGAACUGAGACACGGUCCAGACUCCUACGGGAGGCAGCAGUGGGGAAUAUUGCACAAUGGGGGAAACCCUGAUGCAGCCAUGCCGCGUGUGUGAAGAAGGCCUUCGGGUUGUAAAGCACUUUCAGCGAGGAGGAAAGGUUGAUGCCUAAUACGCAUCAACAGUGACGUUACUCGCAGAAGAAGCACCGGCUAACUCCGUGCCAGCCGCCGCUGUAA